CCAGACUCCUACGGGAGGCAGCAGUGAGGAAUAUUGGUCAAUGGGCUUACGCCUGAACCAGCCAAGUCGCGUGAGGGAAGACUGCCCUAUGGGUUGUAAACCUCUUUUGUCAGGGAGCAAAGUCACCCACGUGUGGGUGUUGGAGAGUACCUGAAGAAAAAGCAUCGGCUAACUCCGUGCCAGCAGCCGCGGUAAUACGGAGGAUGCGAGCGUUAUCCGGAUUUAUUGGGUUUAAAGGGUGCGUAGGCGGAAUGCCAAGUCAGCGGUAAAAUCGCGGGGCUCAACCUCGCUCCGCCGUUGAAACUGGCGUUCUUGAGUGGGCGAGAAGUAUGCGGAAUGCGUGGUGUAGCGGUGAAAUGCAUAGAUAUCACGCAGAACUCCGAUUGCGAAGGCAGCAUACCGGCGCCCAACUGACGCUGAAGCACGAAAGCGUGGGUAUCGAACAGGAUUAGAUACCCUGGUAC
rnacentral:rRNA from 1 species